rnacentral:rRNA from 1 species
CGGCGGACGGGUGAGUAACACGUGGGUAACCUACCUAUAAGACUGGGAUAACUUGGGAAACCGGAGCUAAUACCGGAUAAUAUUUCGAACCGCAUGGUUCGAUAGUGAAAGAUGGUUUUGCUAUCACUUAUAGAUGGACCUGCGCCGUAUUAGCUAGUUGGUAAGGUAACGGCUUACCAAGGCGACGAUACGUAGCCGACCUGAGAGGGUGAUCGGCCACACUGGAACUGAGACACGGUCCAGACUCCUACGGGAGGCAGCAGCG